ensembl:lncRNA
CACCGGUUCCGGUACCGACACAGUGCGGUGGAGACAACCUCACACGUGUUUCCAAAGAACGAACAGAUAUUUAAUAAAUACACGUCUCAUUAUGGUUGGAACCAAUUAAAAAACAAUAUAACGAUAUAGUUAGACGUCUGAGACACCCAAGUCACCGGCUGGAACUGACAUUGAAACUUGUUGCAUCCGGUGACAGCGAGACCAUUUAAGACUCUGACCCUUUCCCCGUGAUGUAUCGCCGUGGCUCCCCACUGGGGCAGACGUGUUGUGUCAAAGCUGCCCCGUUGGCCACCUCUUGCGUUGCCAGACGUCCCUGGAAGGAGCCAUCCCUCUUCGUGUUCGAGGCUUCCGCGCGUUGUCUGGAAGCAUGUGAGCGGAGGAAGAGAAGAUAGAUACACCCAGCUGCUAAGUGUCUGUCCUGGGGUUAAAAAUGACUCGAAAAGCGGUGUCCAAUGGCAGGACACAUUCAAUACGGCAGAGAGUCCUGCUGUUUGCACAUGCUCGUCAGGAGCCGAGUGUGGCCGUGGGUUAAAUAUAAGCGUUGCUACAGUAUGUAGUAGCUAGC